GCAGAAGUAUUUUUAUUACAUUAUUAUAAUGUUAAGGCUUGGUCUUAGUGGUAACAUUUGAUGUUAUAAUAUUACAAUGUAAAUGUACAAUUUUUAAACUUAAACGUUUUAAAAAUAUCAGUCGUAAUAUAUAAAUUCAACGUCGCCGAUCUUAUAAAUUCUCGUCAUAAUUAAAAAACAAUCAUCAAAAAAAUCAGUCUUAAGAUUAUCUAUAAUGCAAACUAAAAGUUGACUGAAAAUACUAUAGGUCUUUUCAAUAUCUUCGAUUGAUAACGACCUGCAGUAGUAAUUAUAGCUGGUCAUAAACUACUGUGCGGAUAAUAAUUUAAAUACCUUCCUUUAUCUAACUGCUGCGGUAUUCGAAUAGUUUGAUAUGAAAUUGUUUAUACAAUAACUUCAAUUUAAAAAGUGGUCAUAAAAUCAAAGCUGUUAUAAUGAAGGCCACAUUUUGGAGGACCUAGCUUGGUGGUCUGUUGAAACAAUUAAAUCUCGCAUUUAGAUAAAACAAUACCUUCCGAUAGUUUGUUAAUGUACACAAAAAAUUAAUUCGUUUGGAAUCUUGAAAAAUCAUUUAUUGUUACUGCUGUAGCUAAUGAUUCGUUGUAUGUAUAUGAAAUAACUAAAAAUCCAAAGUUACUAUCUACUAGUUUAUGGCUGACAAUUAUCAUUAAUAGAAAAUUCUAUGAGAGUCUGAAAACAAUUUUCGGUUUUUGUUCCACAAUGAAAGCGCAUGCGAACACGACAAGACUUCACACAGUGUUGCCAGAGCUUGUACAAUUUUAGUACAUUUUAGUGUAUUUUAUACGCUAGUACAUUUUUCCUUUUUUCUAAUACAUUUUCCCUGCGUUCGCAAAUAUAAAAUAAUUUUAUAUUUUCGUUUAAUAAAAUAAACUAGAAAUGGUACUAGAUUGUAACAAUAAUUAGAAAACAGAGCCAAGUUGAUUUAUAUUUAGAUCGUGAGAUUUUUGUACUGCAUUGCUAAUUUUAUCGGUAAACUGUAUAUAAAUUUUUCAUCCUUAAAAUAAUAAUUGACACAGUCUAUAACAUUUUUGGAAAAAAAAUUUAAUGUAAACUUAUGUUUAUACAUCUUUCUAUAAUUUUAUUAAAUUUGUUUGAAGUUGGUACAAUUUAGUACAUUUUCUAGUUCAAUUUUUACAUUCAGCUUUUAAAUUGUGGCAACACUGCUCCACAUUCGCGGGUUGCUCAGUAACAGUUUUCGACACUACGAUUUUGCAUAUAAAAUGAGUACCGUGUGGAAUAACAAACUAGAAUUUUAUUUAUUCAAAUAUCUAUUUAAUGGUUUCGUUGCUGAGUUCAUAUAUUGAGAGGGAUUAUGAGGCAUAAGGAUAAUUAAUUUGAUGUUCUCACUUACUCCAUCUCAUAUAAAUAACGGGUAGGUUAUGGUAUUUUUCAAUACUUAUUAAUUAUAUAAAGAAAUUACUUCAAAAAUUGUUUCUUUGAAGUUGCUUUUGUGAUAAUUCGAUUGAAUAUAAUUUAUUCGAAAAGAAAUUACAAUCACAAUAUUAUCCCUUUUAUUGAAUAUACAAUUUUAUUUGUCUGAGGUAUUGACAUUAUAAUAACAGUUAUAAAUCUUUUUUCAAAAUUGUCUUGUGAAUAUUGGAAAAAAGUGAAUUUCUCACUUCACUGUUAUAAAGGAAUGUCAGUUAUUAUGUUUUAGAAAAAAGUGUACACUUAUUUUUGAACGUACAGCUUUAACAAUUAAUGCACAUAAUUGCAUUAAUGCACUUCUACAUAACAAACACACAUUUGUUUAAAAAGCUGAAGUAGCUCUUUUUUGAGCUGAAAUUUCUUCAAUUUCACUAUAAGUUCUCUUCUAAAAAGUGGCAUUCUACUAACUAGAGCUAAAAGUUCUUUACACAUGGUUUAUUUAUUUUAGAUUAUUUGCUACUAGCUGCAAUCUUCACUGAUUUCUUUUUUGAUACCGGUUUCUCCCUCCUCACUUCCUUCUUACUAUAUCUAAAAUAUUACUUCGUUUGUUUUGACAAUUUUCAGAAUAUUUUGAAAAAAUUUAUUGUACAUCUUCAAUUUCAAGGUGCCACUUACUAUUGCUCUUAUUAAUCUUGUUGAAGAUAUGCUGUUAUUUGUCUUCAGUACUGAACUAAAAUAUUGCUCUCGAAUAGUAAAUUUCCUCAUUUUUUUUCCUAUUAUUUAUUAAAUACUAAAUGGAAACGAUCGAGCUUUAACUAUCUCCUUAUUGAGCAGCUUUUCUCCUCACAUAAAGGCAGAUGCAUUUCAUAAAUUUUGUACUGUUCAAAGUUAACGAAAACUUUUUAUACAAGAUAUCAAACAUAUGAACUAAAAUUAAUGGUAGAUUAUUAAUCUGCAUAUAAUUGAAUCACUUUUGUUAAUUGUGUAGUACAUGUUUAUCAUUAUGACGAGAAACUAUUAAGGAAGUACUUUCUUAUCAUUCAGUAAUAAAGAAUUAUUCUUUAUUACUCAAUGCGUUUAUUACAUUAUAAUAUACAUCUUGGGUAAAUUGUUCAAACAAGAUAGUCAUUCAUUAAUUUUUCAGCAAAUUCGAGAAUUUACAAAUAGGUUUUAUCAAAAUGGAAUAACAUGGUAAAAAGAAAAUUUUUUUGUUUGUUUUUAUUUCAGAAAACUUCAAUACUUGAACAAACAUAACUAAAGAAAUAUCCUUAAUUAUAAGAAUUAUUCCUGUAUUAUUGUUUCAGGAUUAACAAUUUGAAUGUAACAUGUCAAUUCUUCCACUUAAUAAUAAUAGUUUUUUUGUGACACUAGAAGUAUUCAAUCCGGGAAAGAGAAAAAUUAUUGGAUGACAGUCAACUUCUAAAAUAUUACAACAAUGUGAAAUAAAUUCUUUGUAAUGUACUUACGUAGACAAAUAAAGAACUUCUGGGAAGAGAUUAA